CAUAUUAUGUAACCUCUUAUGUACAAUUUUAAUGUACAAGUAGCAAAAUCAAUAAAUUUUUAUCGUUAUUAAUUUUUUUAGAAGUGUGUGAUAAGUGAUUUUUUGGAGUACGUGGGGUUAAGAAGUAGAUAGAAGUUAUGGGGAAAUGUGGAAUAUGAUAUUUCUGAGAAUGUGGUAGAAAAUGAGUGUCGGGAAAAUCAGUUCAAACAAGGGCUAAAUGUAUCAGUAUCCUAUGAAAGUGAUUUUUUAAUGUUUCAAUAUCCACUGAUAAUAGUUGCGAGAAAUGGAGCUUGGACUGCUUAUAUAUUGAGAAAAAGGGAAGUGGAUUUUCAGUGAUGAGGAACAUUGGUACUUCUGUUCUUUGACAAUAUAUACGCCUUAAGUAGUAGCAUUAUAUUGGAAUACCAGUGAAUAAAUUCAUUGUUUCUUAUGGUCAAGGUAGACUAAUUUUAUAAGUAUGAAUUGUCCAAAUGUAAUGCUGAUUUUUUUCUGCCUUAUGUUUAAAUCAACGAGUUUCAUAGCAAACUCCAAUGAGGAAACAUGCUUCUGACGUGGCUGGAAAUGAGCUCUGAUAAGAAGGAAACUGAGAGCUACAAUAACAAUGUUAAGAUUAGAUAUUCAGCAGUUAGCCAAGUUUCUUUAUUUUAACACUACGUUUACCAUAAUCUUUGAAAUGCUACAAUAAUAAUCAUUUGCUGAAUAUUUUCUCAUUAUAUUAGGUACCCACAAUCAAUCAAGAAACUACAGUAGCAGGUCCUGAGCCUACUGAGACGCUCAGGAAAUUCCGUUCUGAUGAAUUCUUGUUUCCAAACAAGAAACAACAGAAGAAAGUGUAUUUCGGACAGAAUUUGAUAUGUGCUGAAUCCCUCGCUCAAGGAAAGGGAAAAACUAUCAAAGUGGGAGAUCCCAUUUUAGUUGUCAAAGCCGUGUCAUCGCCUGCUGAUGCACCAAUUUGAACUCGUUUACUCCCCCAAUUUGUCGGGUGUAAUUUUUUACUGUUAGAUCACAUAGUUCCUGGUGUAUUUCACAAUCAGUGCACAUGUGCCUUAUUGUAAUGUAUGAUACUUGUCAUGGGCCUAGUUUCGUUACACCUGAACUAUGCUAGAACCGUGCGGCCUUAACGCUUUAACA